GCCCACAGCUCGGCAUCGAGCAGAGGGAAAAGGAGCAAUCCGCUUUGAGAUGACCUCGCGUCCGAUUAGCUAGUUGGUGAGGUAAUGGCCCACCAAGGCAACGAUCGGUAGCCGGACUGAGAGGUUGAACGGCCACAUUGGGACUGAGACACGGCCCAGACUCCUACGGGAGGCAGCAGUGGGGAAUAUUGCACAAUGGGGGAAACCCUGAUGCAGCGACGCCGCGUGGAGGAAGAAGGUCUUCGGAUUGUAAACUCCUGUUGUUGAGGAAGAUAAUGACGGUACUCAACAAGGAAGUGACGGCUAACUACGUGCCAGCAGCCGCGGUAAAACGUAGGUCACAAGCGUUGUCCGGAAUUACUGGGUGUAAAGGGAGCGCAGGCGGGAAGACAAGUUGGAAGUGAAAUCUAUGGGCUCAACCCAUAAACUGCUUUCAAAACUGUUUUUCUUGAGUAGUGCAGAGGUAGGCGGAAUUCCCGGUGUAGCGGUGGAAUGCGUAGAUAUCGGGAGGAACACCAGUGGCGAAGGCGGCCUACUGGGCACCAACUGACGCUGAGGCUCGAAAGUGUGGGUAGCAAACAGGAUUAGAUACCCUGGUAGUCCACACCGUAAACGAUGAUUACUAGGUGUUGGAGGAUUGACCCCUUCAGUGCCGCAGUUAACACAAUAAGUAAUCCACCUGGGGAGUACGACCGCAAGGUUGAAACUCAAAGGAAUUGACGGGGGCCCGCACAAGCAGUGGAGUAUGUGGUUUAAUUCGACGCAACGCGAAGAACCUUACCAAGUCUUGACAUCCUGCGACGAUGCUGGAAACAGUAUUUUCCUUCGGGACGCAGAGACAGGUGGUGCAUGGUUGUCGUCAGCUCGUGUCGUGAGAUGUUGGGUUAAGUCCCGCAACGAGCGCAACCCUUACUAUCAGUUACUACGCAAGAGGACUCUGGCAGGACUGCCGUUGACAAAACGGAGGAAGGUGGG
rnacentral:rRNA from 1 species